GUAUAAAAUAAAUGACACUGAGUAUUAUUUUUGGGGAAAAGAAUGACACUGAAAGCUUUUUCUUUAUUACCUGCAGAGGAGAAGAAAGUAAAGAGCACUAAAGUGGAAGCAAAACUUAAAAAGGAAGUGAAGGAUGGAAAAGGAGAAACAAAGGCGGCCGAGAAAGUCAAGCAGGCAGAGAUUAAACCAACAGAAACUGGGCUAAUAAAGGCCAAAACGAAAGUUAAGGAGGAGAAAGCUCUUCAGACUGUAACUAAAUCGGACAAGAAAGAAGAAAAGUCUAUUGUGGUACCCAGAGAAGUGAAAAGUAAGUUGUUUUUUAUUAUAUUUCCCUUGUCUUCAUGUUAAUUUAUGCAAAGGAUAGGAGUAUAUUGUC
rnacentral:lncRNA from 1 species